GGAACAACAGUUUUAUUUUCUCAACAUAAAUAAAACUUUAAUACCUAUCCUGCUUCAUUCUUACAAACCACUUUCCCUCUCUAGAAACUAAACCCUAUUAAGCUUUGCCUUCUCUCUAGCCCAUUCGUCACUGAAUCAAUUGUUUGUUGAUUAGGGAAAUUCUGAGAAAUCUUGAAGCUGAGAACAACCAUUUCUACCGAUCAAUUCCACUGUCCAUAUACUGGUACUUUCAAAUUUCUCUAGGGUGCAAGGGUGUGGUUGAAGUCUCCUUAAGCUUGGUUGUCGAUUAGAGAAGUUGAUGAUGAGGUGCCUUUGGAGCAAGCGUUGGAGACUGAAGGAGACCCAACUCCUACUUCUUAGAUUUCCUAUAGUCUUAUCUAAAUAACUCUUCAUUUUGAAAGACUUCUAGCUUUUACUUCUCAUGAUCUGUAUUUUGGAAUUACUCUUUAGGCACCCUUAGACCUUUAGUUGUCUUGUAUUUUGAAGAACUCUCAAUCUUGUAUUUAAAUUAUAAAUUUCAACCAUAUUUUGGAUGACUGUAUGCCUAAUACUGUCCUCUAUUAACUCCUAAUUGCUUUCUCGUACUAUAAUAGCUGAAUCCUAUUAUAUGUACGUCUAUAUAAUAUUUGG